GGAUCUUAGCUGUCCCGUGACACUUCCUACGGCUGCCAUAGGGUCUCAGAAGGCGGUAAAAAGCUGAAUCGUGGCUUUGCAGGCUCUGGCUGAAAAAAAGUAGCGCGUUUGGGUAGUGGCUGGUUACAGUACUGUGAGACUCAGGCUCGUGCCCGCGUCGACCGAAAGCUUUGUUUACUUUCCUCUGUUUAGCUAAAUGGACAUUCCCGGUCGGAAUAUUAUCGCUUUUUUACGAGAAAAAUGGCAUAAAAAUGGAUUUUAAACAGCGGUUGACAUGCUUCGAAGUACAGUAAUGGAAUAUUUAGAUUUUUUUUGUCACGAAUUGCGCCAUGCGCAAGACCCUGAUUUACCAUUUCAGAUAGUGUCUGGGACGCACGAACAAAACGCCGCUAUUCGGAUAUAACGAUGGAUUAUUUUGGACCAAACCAACAUUUGUUAUUGAAGUAGCAGUCCUGGGAGUGCAUUCUGACGAAGACAACAAAAGACCAUACAAACAUGCCGACAACCAUCCGUGGAGAUCAGUCGACAGAGGGCCGGACAACGGGCCGCACCAAAAAAACGCAUGGUUGCCAAGAAAGCGGCCACUGGAUUGAAUGGGGGCUCAGGGCAGUACCAUUCUGCUCAUCUGAUGAAGGUGCACAUGGAUCACAUUCAAACUGACAGAGAUCGAGUUAGAGGCAGACCAGCAGAAAGAGAAACAUUAUCGGAGGGCAGAGAUACGGGCGACAGCUGAUGCAUUGGUCCAGAACCAGGCAGCAUUGGCGGAGAGACAGGCGGAGAAUGGCGCUUUGAAGAGGGCGAGGAACAAGAUGGAGUUACAAUCCAUGCCAGGCACACCUGUGAGCUCUGGAACUCCACCUCCGACAGGCAGAGUCAACAUACCUGGCGUGUUCAUCAGGUUAUCGGUUCACCCUGACAUUUCCAUUCCUCUUCUGACAACAGAACUUGGC
rnacentral:lncRNA from 1 species